AAUGCAGCAAGUAAACAACCUGCUAUUCUAAUUUAAAGAUUUGUGGCAUGUCCAACCUCUUUUUGAAAACGAGGCGGGACAUGGUAACUUGAGCAUUACGAAGACUUUAACUGUGAUAUAUAUCUCCUCAAAAUAGCACUUUCUGUUGGCGUAUCAAGUUAAACUUUUACACAUAAAUUAAACAAACUAUGCUGAAUUCAAAUAUGGUAUUCAUUUAUUUUAAAAAAAGUAUGACUCAUGGUCUCGGGAAAGGUGUAUUCUCGCAAAAAAUUUACCCUUAAAGUAACUCACGCGAGUGUAUGAACAAAGAUAGUACCAAUGAUUAUUAUUUCUCCUUUUGCUUAGGAAGCAUUAAGUUAGUCUUGGAAAGACAAAAUAAAAUUCUCAAGGCCAUUUUUAAACUUACCGAAAAGAUAAAUAGUUUAAGUGGUGGUGAAGUAAGAUAGUCGGGUGCUUUUUUGGCCAUUGACAACGAAGAGGAGCUGAACCAACUUGAAAAUGUGAAAGAAUCUGUGAAGGACAUGGUAUGCUGCAUUACAUUUACUUGCUAUGUUUUCGAAAAACAGAUACACAACAUUAAAGAAUUUAAGAAGCUCUUCUACAGUUUUUUUUGAUAAUCUUCUUUUUUUUCUGGUCUUUUUUGGUGCCCUAGUACUCGUUAGUCAAACAUUUUUAAGGCGCAAAGAGGUUAGUUGAUUUCUUCUUUACGUAGAUUCAGCGUAUUCAGAUUAUUGGUGGGUCCUACUAUAAGGAUGCCGUCAAAAAAAACACUUAGCCGAUUUUUCACUAAAACUUUCUUUGCCAAUGCAACUUGUGAGGAAAGAAUGGAAAGAUAGCUAUAACAGAGAAAAAAUCUUUCCAAAUAAUCGUCGACGCUAUUGACUGAGUACUAAGCCUCAACGUACAUUUAAACUAGGUUCUCAUAAAAAGAAAAACGUGUAGUAGCAAAUACUAAUGUUUAACUGAUGUGAAUAAAAUUAUUGUAAAUUUGUUGAUAAUAUAGAAUUACUUAUGAUAUUUAUGAUAUUUAAAGAAAAUAUUACAAAAAGAUGAAGUUAUACAGUUUUACUGCAUUUCUAAUCCCUCUAAGGACAAAGGUUGUUUAAACAGCUUUCUAGAAUGACUUUAUUUAUGAGUUUACGUCUUAUA